UACGGAGGGUGCAAGCGUUAUCCGGAUUCACUGGGUUUAAAGGGUGCGUAGGCGGGUAGGUAAGUCAGUGGUGAAAUCCUGGAGCUCAACUCCAGAACUGCCAUUGAUACUAUCUAUCUUGAAUAUUGUGGAGGUAAGCGGAAUAUGUCAUGUAGCGGUGAAAUGCUUAGAUAUGACAUAGAACACCCAUUGCGAAGGCAGCUUACUACGCAUAUAUUGACGCUGAGGCACGAAAGCGUGGGGAUCAAACAGGAUUAGAUACCCUGGUAGUCCACGCCCUAAACGAUGGAUACUCGACAUACGCGAUACACUGUGUGUGUCUGAGCGAAAGCAUUAAGUAUCCCACCUGGGAAGUACGUUCGCAAGAAUGAAACUCAAAGGAAUUGGCGGGGGUCCGCACAAGCGGUGGAGUAUGUGGUUUAAUUCGAUGAUACGCGAGGAACCUUACCUGGGCUAGAAUGCUGGGAGACCGCUAGUGAAAGCUAGUUUUGUAGCAAUACACUGCCAGUAAGGUGCUGCAUGGCCGUCGUCAGCUCGUGCCGUGAGGUGUUGGGUUAAGUCCCGCAACGAGCGCAACCCCUAUCUUUAGUUGCCAACAGGUAAUGCUGGGAACUCUAAAGAAACUGCCGCCGUAAGGUGUGAGGAAGGAGGGGAUGAUGUCAGGUCAUCAUGGCCUUUAUGCCCAGGGCUACACACGUACUACAAUGGGGGAGACAAAGGGCUGCAACAUAGCGAUAUGAAGCCAAUCCCAAAAACUCCCUCUCAGUUCAGAUUGCAGGCUGCAACUCGCCUGCAUGAAGCUGGAAUCGCUAGUAAUCGUAUAUCAGCAAUGAUACGGUGAAUACGUUUCCGGACCU
rnacentral:rRNA from 1 species